rnacentral:rRNA from 1 species
UACGAAGGGGGCUAGCGUUGCUCGGAAUCACUGGGCGUAAAGUGCACGUAGGCGGAUCUUUAAGUCAGGGGUGAAAUCCUGGAGCUCAACUCCAGAACUGCCUUUGAUACUGGAGAGCUCGAGUCCGGAGAGGUGAGUGGAACUGCGAGUGUAGAGGUGAAAUUCGUAGAUAUUCGCAAGAACACCAGUGGCGAAGGCGGGUCACUG